rnacentral:rRNA from 1 species
UACGGAGGGGACUAGCGUUGUUCGGAAUUACUGGGCGUAAAGCGCACGUAGGCGGAUUUGUAAGUCAGGGGUGAAAUCCCGGGGCUCAACCUCGGAACUGCCUUUGAUACUGCAAAUCUCGAGUCCGGAAGAGGUGAGUGGAAUUCCUAGUGUAGCGGUGAAAUGCGCAGAUAUCAGGAGGAACACCAAUUGCGAAGGCAGCUCGCUGGAACGUAACUGACGCUGAGACGCGAAAGCGUGGGGAGCAAACAGG